AUGGCAGAAAGCGCAGUGAUAGCACCACCACUACAACCAAUGACACCACCGCAACCAAUGGCAGAAAACGCAACGGAGGCACCACCACAACCAAUGGCACCACCGCAACAAAUGGCGGAAAACGCAACGGCCGCACCACCACCACAACCAAUGGCGGAAAACGCAACGGCGGCACCACCACCACAACCAAUGGUGGAAAACGCAACGGUGGUUGUGGUGGUGCCACCACCACCGCCAGACAGCACCACAACAUUCCUCUGCCUCAUCCUCGCCUUCUUCCUCCCUCCCCUCGGCGUUUUCCUCAAGUACAAAUGCGAGAUUGAAUUCUGGAUCUGCCUCAUCCUAACAUUCUUGGCCUACGCGCCGGGCAUCAUCUACGCCGUCUGGGUGAUCGUAAAGUAG
rnacentral:rRNA from 1 species